UACGAAGGGGGCUAGCGUUGUUCGGAGUUACUGGGCGUAAAGGGUGUGUAGGCGGUUGGAUAAGUGUGGUGUGAAAUCUCCCGGCUCAACUGGGAGGGUGCGCUACAAACUGUCUGACUAGAGUGUGGGAUGGGAAAGUGGAAUUCCUGGUGUAGCGGUGAAAUGCGUAGAUAUCAGGAGGAACACCGGUGGUGUAGACGGCUUUCUGGACCAUAACUGACGCUGAGACACGAAAGCGUGGGUAGCAAACAGG
rnacentral:rRNA from 1 species